rnacentral:lncRNA from 1 species
GGCAAAUGCCCGCAAGAAACCCAUUUAUUUAUCUACUUAUCGUCUAGAUGGGGUAGGUGUGAAGUCUACCUUCGUACAAGAUCCAAUCUCGAUUAUGUUUCUGCGGAAGUAUCUACUCGUUACGGAAUCUUAAGUAUCAAAGUAAUAGAUGUUAUGUUAGAACCUGGCGUUCUGGGCAACUGGGAUCAACUUUCAGGUUUUACAAAACAAACUUCUAAUCCAUGUUGUCAAAAAACAAAAACAGAAGUGCUUGUUCAUCACCCGGGCAAGUUAUCUCUUAUUCAGUGUUCAAGAUAGAAAGGUUUGCUGUUAAGCUAAAAAUGUAGUCAAGAAAGAAAAUAAAAGCUGUAAGAUGAAUUGAAUUAAAAGCGUGUAUGGGUCUGCCUGGAGAAUUAAAAUGAGAUGAGAGGAGCUCUCUAUUUUAUGAAACCAAUGACCUAAACUUCUGUUUUAAUAACGCUAAAUUACUUUAGGAAUCUUCCAUGAUUUUUUUCUGCCACAUCGCACAUUCCAUUUCAUUAACAAGUCUCGUAAUCAGUAGAUUAGAAGUUCCUACAUGUGCUGGUCGAUGCUUCGCAGCUUCUCCCUGAAGCUUUCUUAUCUUGAUCACUCUCUUUCAUAAGAAUCGACCAACUCACAUGUGCUCAAUGGGAGAUGUUUAUUUUGGGUGUAAUCAAUAUUAAAUAUCAUUAUGUGCAUGGAAUACUCGUAUGUGAUGCUCAUUGAAAAACCAAUUGACCAGUUUUCAAGCACUAUAUCACUUGGAGAAGGCAUUAUAAGGCAGAGUUGAGGAAACACCAGGUAACCCUUAAUGAUUCCUAGGUGCUAUAUCUAGAUACUGCCACUCACAACCAAGACUAACUAAAACCUCAACAUAAAGCACAUACGUGAACGUCUAACAGUGCUGAUGAAAGCAUUAAUCGAAAAAUCAAUUUGCGGAAUCUUUUCACAGCAUCUUUCUGACCUUCUCUGCUCUGGAUGAAGAUGAUGGAUUUAAUGUUAGAAAGACUUCAAGCCAGUGAACUUACUUAUCAAGAAUCAAUAAACCUUCUAAUCUGAUUUUUCUUACUUCUACGGAAAAGGAAAGGAUAAACGAUGAGAAGGAACUCCCCUGGCAAUGAAACCUCCACUAAGACCUACACUAACAAAUGACCAUGGUUCUCCUAAACAACCACCUAAAAACCUCUUGGAAUAUUAUUUGUAAAUAAAAUAACAGGUAUGUAUACGAGGAGCAGGGUGGACUGCAUAUACCUUGAUUUUAUGUGGAAUGGUGCCACUCUUAGCUGUAACAGUGCUCCCAACGCAAAAUUUUGGCUUCUUCGCUGCAGGUCUCAGUAUUUGGAAAGAACAUUGUGGAUUCUCAUCCAUGGUCAUGAUGGCACCAGCAUUGUCAAACUCAGGCAGAGAGCUAUUUCUCUUAUCGCUUGCCUGCUUAUUUCAUACCAAUUCCAAAAAAAUUCAGCAGGCCAAUUAUGAAAACAUCACCUAGAUCUCAUGUUCUUAGUGCAUAUUGUCCAAUGAGCCCUGUGUGCUAUAAUUAUAAAGGAACAGAAGGGAAUAUAUUCAGAAAUGAAAAUUUUCAAUCAUUUAGGCAUUAGAUGAAUGCACUCACCGCUUGUAUCCAUAAAGCACAUCUCAACACCAAUGUCAAAAAAUGUCAUCACAUUCCCAUAAAGAACAGAGUUCAGGCAGUUUCACAUAAGCCUUGAUCACUAACCAGUUCAAAUUCCAAUCAAUAUAUGCAUAACAAAUCCACUUUGACGUGACAAUCUGUUUUGACUGUCCUAACAUGCAAAAUUCAAUUUUGACAUUAUAAAUAUGGUUGGGAAAAAAAUAAUGGGGUUUUAUAAAAGGAUAUUUACCACAAAUCUUGAUAGGAGCUUCAAGCUCUAGAAGAUUGGGCUGCUUCAAGAAAAUCUCCCUCGAAGUGAUGCAAAGUUGCCUAAUUUCAGCCUCGGAAAGCUGAACCUGGUUUCCCCCAACUUCAAGCAACCUAUUAAUGAUUCCAUCAAGAACAAAAGGCUCCAAUUUUAUUUUAUUUUUUUGCCUCUGUUAAGUCUUCUGACUAAAAUAAAAGGGUGAAACAGGAUUAAAGGGAAUAGGAUCUGUUUGGGGGUCUGGGUUUCUUUGUAGUGGAGUAAAGAAUGAAUGGUGCUAUUUUGAAAAAAAAAAAAAAAAGAUAAAUGGAAAGCAAGUAGCGAGUGUUUCAAGUAGUAGAAAAGUAGUGGCUAGGUGAGAAAUGGACCCCAAAAAGAAGCUCUUCCUCGAGAGAAAGAAAUGCUGAUAAUGACAGCGAUCUUGACGCUUGUUUUCUUUGAAAAUUUUCAAGCGGGGCGGCAGGCUGCGACCACCCAAUUGAAGUGUUUUUGCUUUUUCGGAAAGUGAUGAUGGUGGACCAUUGUCCAUUGCCACUUGAGAGCCCGGCCUUAUCUCCAUCUCAUCUUCACUUCUUAUGCCUUCUCUUUGGGCUGAAAAAUUGCUACCUCUUGGGAGCUCUUUGGUGACCUUGAAUAUUAUCCUCAACCAACCGACACAGAAAAGGGCUCCGAAGAGAGGUGGACAUGGUUACUUAGGUUCUGUUUGAUUUAAGAUAGAGUGUUAAAAGAUAAAUUAUUAAAGAUGUAAAAAGUGAUUAAAGGAUAAAAUAUUGAGAAUAUUUCAUUUCCGUGUAAGAACUAUGUAUAAUGGUGGAAUCCAAUAAAUUUAAAUUUAAAAUCAAAAUUUAAAUUAUAUAUAAUAAAAUAUAAAAUAUAAUAUUUAUUUGUGGCGCCUACUGAUUAUUUGUAAAGAAAUAAUAGAAAUUAAAUGGUUAGUUAGAAAAAAAUAAAACUUGCACAAGUCUUAAAAAUUGGACCGAAACUGUCUAAGGAAUAGAAAAGAGAACUGGUUAUUCACGUGGAUACUAGAUUUUGGAGACUAGAGAAAAAAGAAAACUUCAUGACACAACAUUUUCCCGUGAAAUUUCUUUUUCCUGCCAGGUGUGUAACUUUCAUGUCCAUCUUCAUUUAUAAAGUUUUCUAGCAAAAAAAUAUUUAUUGUAAGAGCAGCUAAUCUCUAGAAGAUGAAAAAAAAAAACAAAUAACAACAUUUUCAAAGUAGUAACAGCAUAUUUUAGCUCACUAGCAGUCGAAAAUCAUGUUAUGAUCAACUUUAAGAUCUUCAUGAAGAUAAGGUAUCCACUAGACCACUACACAUAAAAUGAUUUACUUGCUACCUAUACCAAAGUGCUGCUACUACUUUAUACAGAGAAGCCAGUUCCAAGAAGCAAGGAACUUGUAGUGGUUCAUGAUGACUCGUCUAAAAAGGCAAGACUUCAAAAGAUUCAGAUAUUAGACACAGAGACUCACCUGCUUCUUCAACUAAUUACACCAGUGAGAGAAGAUUGGAUAAAGCUGGAGAGGGGGGGGGGAGAGAGAUGAUUGUUGUUGGGGGUGGAGAGUGGCCAGCUAUUUAUAAAGGUUUCAACUUUCAUGUGAUUAACACAAACCCAAAAUCAAUGCGGCAUCUAAUGGUAUAUACCCACUUAAUGAUAGUCAGCUCUUUCACAGGCUUGCCACUUCUCUGUAUCCUCUCUGUUAAUCACAACCCCUUCUUUAUUGAAUGGACGUUUUAGCUUUUUUUUUAUAUAUAUAUAUAUAUACUUGUGCCCUUUAAAUAGUUAUUAAUCGUCAUCUCUAAUUGAGGCGUUGGUACGUUCAAAACAAACUGAGGUGUUGGUGGUCUAUUUACAAGAAUUUAAGGUCAAGCACCAUAAAGUUACAGUGAUCAAGUUGGAAAUUGCCCGCCCUCCUCCUGGUAAACUAGCUGGGAAAGUAGAAAUCAAGGGAUUUUCAGGAUUCUGACCAAUGCUAGAGGCAUAGACAAACCAUGGAGUCCUUACUAACGAUGAAGGUGCUCAAAAGACUUGCCUUUUAGCAACCGCCUGGAGUCCAUCCAUCCUUCCAUUCCACCUUAAUCCAAUCUUAAUUACAAAUAGUUUGUAUAAAAACAUAACGUAAAACUUGGGGAUUCCUUCAUCCCUUUAGAUAAUUCUCAUUUCGUUAUCCUCAUCCUAUUUUUUAAUCUAACCAAGGAGGCGACUCGUUACUUCAAAAGGAGAAUUUAAUCCUACCAUCUCCAAUUUCCCUUAGAUUGAAUUCAUUCUAACACCCGUUCUCCUCUUCUAGGACUAAAACAAAGCCUUAAAAGGUUGUACUACUAAUAAAGCCCCCACAAAAAAUGGGAACUACAAUGACACUUUACAUCAGCCUCUCAGUUCUGGUGGAUUGCGGUGCGGGCCACCGCUGAUUCUAUAGGACAGAAUUCAUCUCAGAAAGAGCAUUUUCUCAUCCUCUCCUCUCCAAAAAUAAAUAAAUAGAUUAGUGAAGACCGAGGAGUAAAAGAAGCUCAAGGGAGUUCAGGGAAUGUAGCCGUGAAUUCAAAUACUUUGUUGACCCCAUCAUGAAAAUGAUCACGCAGUUAUUUUCUGAGAUAUACUUGUAUUUUGUUUUUUUGUUUAAAAAAUGUUAAAAAGAAAUUAAAAAAAUAAAAUCUUUAUUUUUUAUGCGCUUCUAGUAAAAAAACUUUUAAAAAUAAAUGCUACCAUAAUUACAUAUUAAUACUUUUUAUUUAUAGUUAAAUGAUUAGAAUUUAGGAGUACUGAGUUUGCUGCAAGCAAUACGAGGGGUUUUCAGAGCACUCGUCCCUCUUGUGUGCAACGGUAUAUAACCUUAAACAACUACUCACUGACUUUUAAAAAUGAACGUCAACGUGUUAUUAUAGUAAUGUUGCCUGUAAGGAAGGAGACAGUACAAGUAAGGUACAGAUAAGUUGCACGUACGGGUCCCACCCUAACAUGAAAGUUAUCGGAUUAUUUGAUUAACCUUUCGAGUCUCUCCAAUUUAUUUUCUCCCUAAAGUUAGGGUAAUUCUACUGAUGAUGAUCAGUGUAAUGUUACGGAUUGCAAAUUUUCACUUUGAACCCAUUAGUUUUUACUCAUAAAAACCAAUGCUAUGAUAUUAAUAAAAUAUCAAGAAUGUCCUUCGUUGAGUUAUUUGAUCUGGAUAAUAUAUAUAUAUAUGAUGACAUUUAAAUAAUUGAAUUAUAUUUCUUAAUCUUUAAGAAGUAUUGCUAGAGAUCAUACCUUAAAAAAGCAAAGAAAAACCUUUAGGAUUUCUGUUAUUCCUAUGCAUAUUAUGAGAAUGGAAUGCAUUCUAGGAUUGAGAAUUAUCCAAAAUUGCACUACUUCCUCUCAAUUUAACUAAACCAUAUAUAGAACGUUUUAUGUUGUGUAUAUUUUCUUUUCUUUUGUUUUUUUUUUCGCAUCCGAUUAAUUUAUCCGAUCCUAACAUGGAUAUUGCUAGUUAAAUAUGCAGUUAUAUAUUUCUUUUAUAUUAAUAUGGAUAUUCAAAUCAAAUCAGCUUAUUUGUAAUUCGAUUAAUUCUACGAGUUUUGAAAUUAAUAAUUAUAUAAAUAUUUAAUAUCCUUGAAAAUUAUUAAAUUUAAAUUGUUGACUUCUAAAAGAAAAAAAAAUUAAAACAUGAGAAGUUAAAUCUUCUUCAUGCAAAUCCACAACGGCUAAAGUCUAUGGGCAUCGUGGUUGUGUCAUCGCAUCAUAAUUUAGAACACCAGCAAAUGAUUCAGAAUUAGAACUCCAAGGCCGCAGGAUUGGAACGUGUCCACUUGAUUGUUCAUUCUGUCUUAAAUGCCGAUUGAGUGCUUAGCAGUUAUGAUCAUCAUGUCCCGUACAUGCUAUCCUGAGACCAGUUCGUACAGAGUCAAGACAGCUACAGCUGAUAUAUUAAAACGAUGCCCACCACCACCACUUUGCAUUGCAAAUUCGAUGUCGGCUAGAUGUGCUUGCAAUAUUUUAUAAUUGAUCCCGAAGCCUCUUAGAGCUCACAAUAUAGCAACCCUUCAAGUUUACUCUCGUCUCGUUUAAAUAAUGUGAAAUGAUUGAUGACUGAGCAAUCAAUUGAACUAAAUAUAAUUAAAUUAGUAAUUUGAGCUACGAGUUAAAUAAAGAGUUUAAUUGAAGUAUUAAUAAUUAAUUCAAAGGGAGAUCGGUGAUCGGGAAUAGUUAAUUAGACAUCAUUUCUGGAUAUUUCUUUCGAUUAUAUGUAUCUUAUAAUGUAUAGCUGUAUCUUAUAAUGUAUAGCACAAAGGAAGGGCAUGAUGCAAGUCAAAGAGAUCUUUUUGAGCAUAUGCCGGAUUCCUUGUCAACCAAAAACUAAGUCAACACCCAUUACCACUUGCAUUCCCGGAAUUAUCACCUGACGAUGGUUAAUCUUGAGAAUCUUGAGAUUGUUGAUUUGACUUUCACAUGCAUUCGAUUCGAACUAUUUUACCUUCAAAAUCUGCUUUUUGGACGAACAUUUUACGAUGUUAAUGAGAACGGAUUCCUUUAAUAUUGCCAGUCACAACCAAGACUAACUAAAACCUCAACAUAAAGCACAUACGUGAACGUCUAACAGUGCUGAUGAAAGCAUUAAUCGAAAAAUCAAUUAUCGGAAUCUUUUCACAGCAUCUUUUUGACCUUUUCUGCUGUAGAUGAAGAUGAUGGAUUUAAUGUUAGAAAGACUCCAAGCCAGUGAACUUACUUAUCAAGAAUCAAUAAACCUUCUAAUCUGAUUUUUCUUACUUCUAAGGAAAAGGAAAGGAUAAACGAUGAGAAGGAACUCCCCUGGCAAUGAAACCUCCACUAAGACCUCCACUAACAAAUGACCAUGGUUCUCCUAAACAAACCACCUAAAAACCCUUUUGGAAUAUUAUUUGUAGAUAAAAUAACACGUAUGUAUACGAGGAGCAGGGAGGACUGCAUAUACCUUGAUUUUACGUGGAAUGGUGCCACUCUUAGCUCUAACAGUGCUCUUGAUAAAUAUAUUUAUCUUGUUUUAUUUAUUAAGGAUAAAAUACUAUUUUUAGCUUAAUUUAUAUAUAACCUCUUUGUAUUUAGGUUAAAUGAUGUUUUUUUUAUAAAUCAAUUAAGGAGAAUUCUAGUCUUCCUCUCUUUUGUGUUCGUAUUUAUUUUCUGUUAAUUGAAUUAUUUUAACAUGGUAUCAGAGCUGAUUUUAUGGAACGAGGCUUAAUCUCAAACACAGCUUUCGUGGAUCCAACUGGUAUUUUGUCUUCCGCUUAUGCCAAAUCUGGUAUUUCGCCUUCCCUUUAAUUUCUACAAUUUAGUAUUGCGUUCAGUUUCUGCAAAUUUGUUUUAUGUUUUGGUGUAAUCGUAUAACUUCAAGAAGAUAUUUGUUUAGUUUAUGCGGUCUCUGUUUAGUUUCUGCAAUUUGGUAUUUUGUAUUCCACUGCUUUUGCAUUCUGGUUCUCUGUGAUUGAUGAUUAUGGCUUCUAAAAGAGAUGAUUUGCUUUAGUCUGUGAGUGUGAGGUUGGAUGGGAAGAACUAUUUAUAUUGGAGUUAUGUAAUGAGAAAUUUUCUUAAGGGUAACAAGAAGUGUGGAUAUGUCAGUGGAACAUACGUGGUACCUAAAAACACUAAAGAAGGGGAUGAGAAGCAAACAAUGCAAAGAUUAUUACUUGGAUUAACAAUUUCAUUAAGCAUUCUAUAGGUACACAGUUGGUGAAGUAUGAGACAAUAAAAGAGGUUUAGGAUCAUCUGCAACGGUUAUUCAUGCAAUCAAAUUUUGCAAAGCAGUAUCAAUUAGAGAAUGAUAUAUGAACUCUUCAUUAGAAGAAUAUGAGUAUUUAAGAGUUUUAUUCUGCUAUGAUAGAUCUCUGGGAUCAAUUGGCUCUUACAGAAUCGGCAGAACUAAAGGCAUGUGGUGUCUAUAUUGAGUGUAUAGAGCAACAACGAUUGAUACAGUUUUUAACAGCAUUUCACAGUGAUUUUGAAGGACUUAGAGGUUCAAUUCUGUAUCGUUCUCCACUGUCUUCUGUUGAUUCUGCUGUUAGUGAGUUAUUGACUGAAGAAAUACGUCUUCAAUCUUAUUCUAGAAAAGGAAAUUCUUUCUGCUUUGAAUCCUUCUGUACUAGCAAUACCCUCUAAGUCAUUCUCUAAUCAUUAGAAUAAGCAUUACACAAGGGUUGACUUCAAAUAAUACAGUUUCUGUAAGCAGAAAGGUUAUUGAAAGACUCAGUGUCCCAAAUUAAGACAACAUAAUCAAUCUUUGAAAGCCUGGUAGCCAGUCACAGUCUAAUGCUCAUAGACCACCUCAGGGUUAUAAAUCACCACACCACAAUACUGCAGCAGUAGCUUCAUCAGUCUCUAUCACCGAUCCUAGAACUCUGGCUGUGUAAUUUCAAAAGUUUAUCUCCUUACAGCCACAAACAAUGUUCGCUUCUCCUUCUGUAGGUUAGUUGCCUCAUAAUUCCUCAGGUAUGUCACAUGCUGAAUGAGUCUUGGAUUUUAGUGCUUCACAUCAUAUGUCUCCAGAUUCUUCAUCCUUUACUUUCGUGUCCCCUUCGCCUUCCAUUCUUGUUGUGACUGCUGAUGACACUCCUAUGCCCUUAGCAGGUGUUGGUUCUGUUAUCACACCUCACUUGUCUCUCCCUAAUGUUUAUCUUAUUCCAAAACUCAAAUUGAAUCUUGCUUCUGUUGGUCAAUUAUAUGAUUUUGGUGAUUAUUUAGUCAUGUUUUCUGGUUUCUUUUGUUGUGUACAAGAUCUGCAGUCUUCGAAGCUGAUUAGGACAGACCGUAGGGAGAAUGGACUAUACAUUUUGGAUGAGUUAAAAGUGACAGUUGUCGCUACUGCUACUACUACUGUUGAUUUGUCUUCUUUUCAUUUAAGUCCUUCAUCUUCUAGCUUUUAUUUAUGGCAUUCUCGUCUAGGUCAUAUUUCGUCUUCUUGUUUAAGAUUUUUGGCAUCCGUAAGAGCUUUAGAAAAUUUGAACAGUUGUGAUAUUUCUAAUUGUAGUGGAUGUAAACUGGCAAAUUUUCCGCUUUACCUUUUAAUCAAAAUAUUUAUGUUUCUUCUUCACCUUUUGAUUUGAUUUAUUCUGAUGUAUGGGGACCUUCUCCUGUUACCACAAAAGAAGGGUCUCGAUAUUAUGUUUUUCAUUUAUUGAUGGUCAUACUCGUUAUUGUUGGAUUUAUUUAAUGAAACAAUGUUCUGAAUUCAAUGAGAUAUAUACAACCUUUCAAGCUCUUGUGAAAACUUAACAUUAUGCUGUAAUAAAAUGCUUUAGGAGUGAUUUGGAUGGGGAAUACACUUCUAAUAAAUUUUAUCAGUUGCUUGCCUUAGAUGGAACCAUUCACCAAACUUCAUGUACAGAUACUCCUGAGCAAAAUGGUGUUGCUGAAAGAAAACAUAGGUAUAUUGUCGAAACUGCUCGUUCUCUCUUUUUAUCUACUUCUAUUCCUAAUGAGUUUUGGGGAGAAGCUAUCAUUACUGUUAUAAGCUUGAUUAAUACAAUCUCAUCUUCUCAUAAUUCAGGUUUUUCUCCUUUUGAAAAAUUAUAUGGGUAUGUUCCUGAUUAUUCCUCCUUUAGAGUUUUUGGUUGUACUUGUUUCGUUCUUCAUUCUCAUGCAGAACAUAGUAAGUUGUCCUUUCGAUCUGCUAUGUGUGUCUUUCUGGGUUACGUUGAAGGUAAAAAGGGG